CCCUUAGAUGUUCUGGGCUGCACGCGCGCUACACUGAUGCACUCAACGAGUUUACGACCUUGCCCGAUUGGGUUGGGUAAUCUUUUUAAAAUGCAUCGUGAUGGGGAUAGAUUAUUGCAAUUAUUAAUCUUCAACGAGGAAUUCCUAGUAAGCGCGAGUCAUCAGCUCGUGCUGAUUACGUCCCUGCCCUUUGUACACACCGCCCGUCGCUCCUACCGAUUGAGUGCUCAGGUGAAUAAUUCGGACUGCAGCAAUGUUUGGAUCCCGAACGUUGCAGCGGAAAGUUUAGUGAACCUUAUCACUUAGAGGAAGGAGAAGUCGUAACA
rnacentral:rRNA from 1 species